UGCACUACGGUGCAGAAGUAGUUGAUGCCCUGCUUCCAGGAAAAUCCUCUAAGCUCCAGGUAACAUUAAAUCGUACCCCAAACCGACACAGGUGGUCAGGUAGAGAAUACCAAGGCGCUUGAGAGAACUCGGGUGAAGGAACUAGGCAAAAUGGUGCCGUAACUUCGGGAGAAGGCACGCUGGCAUGUAGGUGAAGUCCCUUGCGGAUGGAGCUGAAGCCAGUCGAAGAUACCAGCUGGCUGCAACUGUUUAAUAAAAACACAGCACUGUGCAAACACGAAAGUGGACGUAUACGGUGUGACGCCUGCCCGGUGCUGGAAGGUUAAUUGAUGGGGUCAGCCGCAAGGCGAAGCUCUUGAUCGAAGCCCCAGUAAACGGCGGCCGUAACUAUAACGGUCCUAAGGUAGCGAAAUUCCUUGUCGGGUAAGUUCCGACCUGCACGAAUGGCGUAAUGAUGGCCAGGCUGUCUCCACCCGAGACUCAGUGAAAUUGAACUCGCUGUGAAGAUGCAGUGUACCCGCGGCAAGACGGAAAGACCCCGUGAACCUUUACUAUAGCUUGACACUGAACAUUGAGCCUUGAUGUGUAGGAUAGGUGGGAGGCUUUGAAGCGUGGACGCCAGUCUGCGUGGAGCCAUCCUUGAAAUACCACCCUUUAAUGUUU
rnacentral:rRNA from 1 species